rnacentral:rRNA from 1 species
ACGAACGCUGGCGGCGUGCUUACACAUGCAAGUCGAGCGGAAAGGCUCCUUCGGGGGUACUCGAGCGGCGAACGGGUGAGUAACACGUGAGUAAUCUGCCCUUGGCUUCGGGAUAGCCACCGGAAACGGUGAUUAAUACCGGAUACGACACAUCACUGCAUGGUGCGUGUGUGAAAAGUUUUUUCGGCCAGGGAUGUGCUCGCGGCCUAUCAGCUUGUUGGUGGGGUAAUGGCCUACCAAGGCUUCGACGGGUAGCCGGCCUGAGAGGGUGACCGGCCACACUGGGACUGAGACACGGCCCAGACUCCUACGGGAGGCAGCAGUGGGGAAUAUUGGACAAUGGGCGGAAGCCUGAUCCAGCAACGCCGCGUGAGGGAUGACGGCCUUCGGGUUGUAAACCUCUUUCAGCACAGACGAAGCGCAAGUGACGGUAUGUGCAGAAGAAGGACCGGCCAACUACGUGCCAGCAGCCGCGGUAAUACGUAGGGUCCGAGCGUUGUCCGGAAUUAUUGGGCGUAAAGGGCUCGUAGGCGGUUUGUCGCGUCGGGAGUGAAAACACCGGGCUUAACUCGGUGCUUGCUUUCGAUACGGGCAGACUAGAGGCAUUCAGGGGAGAACGGAAUUCCUGGUGUAGCGGUGAAAUGCGCAGAUAUCAGGAGGAACACCGGUGGCGAAGGCGGUUCUCUGGGAAUGUCCUG